CCUUAACCCACUGAGCCACCCAGGCGCCCCCAAAAGGUGUUGUAAUAGUAUACCCAGCACAGUUGUUUCAUCUUUUAAAUAGGAACCAUCAGUAAAUCACAAAAAAUGUGCAUUCGUUAGAGGAGUUUCCUGUACCUUUUUCUACGUGGAGUCAAAAGAAAGAAAAAAAAAAUUCACAGUUUCAACAGGAAAAGCCUGCUUCCAGGAGGAAUCGGUAUAAAGGCCUGCACAGUUCCAAUAGGAGAGCCCAGUUUCAAAAGAAUUAGACUUGAGGCCACUGUUUCAAGAGGGACCGUCUAGUUCUGAAAGUGAGUCAGCCCAAAGGCUAACACAGUCUUAAUGGGAACAGUCCCAAUUCCAAACACGAGUGGAACCGAAGGCCCAAGGGACACUUGCAGAAAGGACAAAGCCUUUAAACCCAUCCUGAAGAAAGCCUGGAGACCUCAGGAAGCUGGGGCUCGAAAUCGAGGAGAAAGCAUAGCUUCAAACUCCAGGAGCAGCAAGAAAGCCGUGGGCUCGGUGGUUUCCGUGGGUAUUGGCAUAUUUGCUCACCAGCCUCAGAAUUGUUGAGGCGGUCUCAGGAUCUGACUUCUGACACCAGAUAAUAUUAACCUCGACUAUAAAACGGCCAGCUAUCAGCAAGAAAGAUUUUAUCUGAGACUAGAGAAUUCGGGAGAAGCUCGCUCCGGCAAAGCCAUGCAUGGGAUCUGUGGCCUUUAUGGUUUCAUGUCAGAACUUACCAAAGCCUAACAUCCACGAAACUUGGAAUGCAGAAGCGAAAUAGGAUUCAGUCAGGUUUUGGAGUCAUCUGUGUGGAAGGAGACAGAAGGCUAGGGCUUUCCGGACGCUUGUUUCCAGCCUGUUCUCCUCAUUCUUUGUGAUGCCCAUCAGUAUUCCCAACCCGCCACCAACUACUAGACUUCCAUCUGACCCCGAGCAGUAGGCUUCUCCAGUUGUCUCCACUGUCCGACUUUGAAGAGCCGGCACAGUCGAGAUUUCCUGCGAUCCGUCAUCAUGUGCCCACCUGGAAAUACUGCGAGUGUCCGUCUGCGUGUUCCUGAUUGCAGUAUGACGGCCACACGGGUGCCGUCCAGAAGAAUUACGUGAGACUUUAUCCUGCUCUGUGCAGCGACCGCUGUGACCCAGAUCUUCCCUCUGAAACCUGGCGCGUUCCUCGUUACCGGCAGAUUCCGGGUGUUUUGCGUCGCUUCUCACGUAAUCCCUCAGUAGGUUUUCAGUUAAGUUGAAUUCUGUGUGAUUAAAAGUACACGCAUUUUUCCCCCCCUAAUGAAUGCUUCUAUAGUUUUCCUUUGAAAUAUUUUAUUAAA